rnacentral:rRNA from 1 species
CGUUAGCGGCGGACGGGUGAGUAACACGUGGGUAACCUACCUAUAAGACUGGGAUAACUUCGGGAAACCGGAGCUAAUACCGGAUAAUAUUUCGAACCGCAUGGUUCGAUAGUGAAAGAUGGUUUUGCUAUCACUUAUAGAUGGACCUGCGCCGUAUUAGCUAGUUGGUAAGGUAACGGCUUACCAAGGCGACGAUACGUAGCCGACCUGAGAGGGUGAUCGGCCACACUGGAACUGAGACACGGUCCAGACUCCUACGGGAGGCAGCAGCA